UGUCCCUGCAUGCUCCAUGGUAGUUCUUUAUUAAUUCUGUUUUUGUGUAUUCUGAAAGCCUAGUUAUAACUCUUUAGAUAACCCUUAAGGCCUCUUAAGGGUCUGGUUUUCUUGAAGAAUGGAUCUCCAAUUCCAGGGUCUCUGUUGACUUACCCGCGGGCCGGGACAAGUGGCGCCCAACGUGGGGCCAGAGAACGGGGGAUCCAGUGAAGGACGCUGCUCAGGGGCCCUAAGAUUAAGAUUGAGGAACAAAGAGCAUACUCGACAUAGAAGAGGCUUGCGAUUGACGUGGACCUGCCGUCUUUUUGCACCUCGGAAACAUCGUCAUCAUUUAAAGUUUGGACCUCCGGCGCACAAUAAAGAGGGAACUCAUGAAGGACAUCUGGCUGAAUGAACGAUCCGAAAACAAGAAUAGGAUGAGCUGGAAAUGCCUAGUUCCCCUGAUAUUGCUGACCAGGGUAUGGGUGGUGUCGCCUUCAGAAGGGUUAGACCACAUGAAAAAUAUAUGGAUUCAGUUGGCAGGCUCGCUCAACUUGUCUGAGUUUUGUCUAAGUGCUGAUGUAAACUUUCAUUAUAUGUUGGGAAGUUGCCUCGUUCCUGUAUGUACCCCAUUGGAAUCAUUGCGGCCUUAUACUCUGUUUAAAGAUAUCCCAGG
rnacentral:lncRNA from 1 species